AGGAACAGAAAGAAGAACAGUGCAUUCAAAUGUUUCUGAGGAUGAACUUUAGCAAGUAAUCAACUGGCCACAUGAUGCUCUGAGCCUCUCGCUUCCCCCAUUUUCUGACCAGCCCUGAGAACAGAACCAAGAGGCUGAAGAAGGAAGCAGAGAAGUGCCAAGAAUUGCAGAAGAGGGGGGACAGGGUGAGUGGCCCCUGGGUGAGGGGUUCCAGCUGCAGCAGGAGAGACACCAGAGGGACGGGGCCAUAUGGCUGCCAUCGGCUUUGCUGCUGCUCUCUGUCCCAGAACCAAUACUUGUCUUGUCACAAUGCAUGGAUAGAGUAUGGUGACCCUGUGUGACUUCUGAAGCCAGGCCCAAAGGAACCCUGUAACUCUGUCCUCCAUCUCUUGAAACACUUGCUCUGGAGACUCUCCUCUCAGAACCCAGCUCCACACGGAGAGGCCUCCUGUAGGAUCUCAGGUCAACUAUCGAGAUUGAACUCAGUCUUGGCGCAUGUUCCAGACACGCAGAAAAGAAGCUUCCAGAUGACAGCAGCACCCAGCCAUUUAGAUCCCUCCCCCACCACCGCCAGUAUGUCUUCCCAGCUGAGGCCCAGAUUUUUUAGAGCAGAGACAGGCCAUCCCUGCUGCACUCCGUCCGAAUUCUUGACCACAGAAUCUAUGACAUGACAGAAAUAUGGCUGUUUUGUGCCCCACGGAAGAUCUAAGCAGAGAGAACUUGAUGUCCCAGCCCCAGGCAGGAUGGUUCAAGGAACAUGCUGCCUCUGCCGGAUGCACAGAGGGCUGGUGGGGAGGCCCCUGGGAGACUCAGCCCUGCAGCGGAAACCUGGGGCCGGACUCCUCAUGCGGUAACGUGCACAGGCUGCUGGGUCUGGAGGUCUUGCCCUUUUCAGAGGCGCGAACCAGAACCAUGUGGGCUGGAGCUGUCAGCACUGGUGGGAGGUGUUCCCCACAAGAAGCCACCCGCCUCUGCAGAACGCCCCUCUGCCCACCCACACCCUCUCUGCAGUGCCCCGACCACAUUCAAAGGAAGCUUCUACUCGAAAAUGAACCAGCACCUUUCCUAACUGAUGGACUCAAGGAGAGGAACACAGUGACAGCAAAAUGCAGCUGGAGAACUUGCUUUGUGAGCGCCAGGGCCCCAAGAUACAGAGGAAAAGUCCAGCUGGCCAAUUCAGCUCAGUCUCGGAGAAAUUAUGGACAACAUGACCUCUCUAAAGAAGGAGCUCAGAAAAGAGAUAAAGGUCCCCAAAAUCGUUCAAAAUAAAAUAUCUGAGCACUAGGUAUUGUAUGGAAACCAAUUUGACAAUAAAUUUCAUAUUAAAAAAAUAAAAAGUUAAUAAAAAACCGACCUUGCAUUUGUGGGAUUAAAAAUAAAAUAAAACAAAAUAAAAUAAAAUAAAAUAAAAUAAGGACACAAAAAAAGAGCAGACAGAGCCCAGGAAGAAUGUAAGUGGAAGAGAAAAAAAACCAAACAAACCCAAAACCCAAAUCAUUAUUGAGAGGAAACAUGUAUAACUUUGAAAAUUAAAAAAGAAAAAGGCUUAUGUUGUUAGUUUUUGAUGACUGAGUAGAGGAAGUUAAAAAGGAAGGGCUGGGCAUCCUGGGCUAUGUUGCUCAGCUGGGCGUGGGGGUGAGAGUGUUCAUGGGGGCGGGAUGUAAAGGCCGAAGGUCAGGCCAAAUCCAGGAGUGGGUGAUGGUGGGUCUGAGCUGUCUGGGGGAUGGACAGUGUCAUGGGUGAGGAGGGGACAGAUCUGUUCCAUCUCGAUGGAAGAGUCCAAACGGUCCCUGGAACCCCCCUGCACCUAAGGACCAGUGAGGCCAAGAGACAACUGGAGGGACAGAAAUGAACUGUUCUGGUGAUGACUGCAUGAGUCCCCUGUGCUUAGAGGCCACCGAUGUAGAUGCAGGGGCAGGAGGAUAUUUACAUGGUUACAAAGCCCUGCCACAAAACACUAUUUACAAAGGGGGAAAGAGUAACUUCAACCACUAUGGACAAAUUUACACACACAACUGCCUGUUUCCCGGACACAUUCGGAUUCUAGCGUUGGAUUUAGAGUCAUUUCCUGCCCUCUAGAAUGGAAGGGUCGUCCUCUCACAUAUAAAACAUUGAAAUGGUGUCCCCCCAAAUAAUCUCAAAA